CUCAGGUGUUGUUGGGUAGGGGAGCGUUCUGUAAGCCUGCGAAGGUGGCCUGUGAGGGUUGCUGGAGGUAUCAGAAGUGCGAAUGCUGACAUAAGUAACGAUAAAGCGGGUGAAAAGCCCGCUCGCCGGAAGACCAAGGGUUCCUGUCCAACGUUAAUCGGGGCAGGGUGAGUCGACCCCUAAGGCGAGGCCGAAAGGCGUAGUCGAUGGGAAACGGGUUAAUAUUCCCGUACUUGGUGUUACUGCGAAGGGGGGACGGAGAAGGCUAUGUUGGCCGGGCGACGGUUGUCCCGGUUUAAGCGUGUAGGUGUGUGUUCCAGGUAAAUCCGGUUCACUUUAACACUGAGGCGUGACGACGAGGCACUACGGUGCUGAAGCAACAAAUGCCCUGCUUCCAGGAAAAGCCUCUAAGCAUCAGGUAACAUCAAAUCGUACCCCAAACCGACACAGGUGGUCAGGUAGAGAAUACCAAGGCGCUUGAGAGAACUCGGGUGAAGGAACUAGGCAAAAUGGUGCCGUAACUUCGGGAGAAGGCACGCUGACAUGUAGGUGAAGUGAUUUACUCAUGGA
rnacentral:rRNA from 1 species